rnacentral:tRNA from 1 species
GCGCCUGUAGCUCAUUCGGAUAGAGCACCGGCCUUCUAAGCCGGGGGUAGCAGGUUCGAGUCCUGCCAGGCGCG